CAGAAAAUAGUUUAAAAAAAAAUAUUAAUUUUGGAGAUUAAUGAUAUAGAUCACUUUUUUUCUGA
rnacentral:tRNA from 1 species